rnacentral:rRNA from 1 species
UACAGAGGUCUCGAGCGUUAGGCGGAAUCACUGGGCUUAAAGCGUGUGUAGGCGGAUUGGUAAGUACUUUGUGAAAUCCCACGGCUUAACCGUGGAACUGCUUGGUAUACUGCCAGUCUUGAGCCAGCUAGGGGCUACCGGAACAAAUGGUGGAGCGGUGAAAUGCGUAGAUAUCACUUGGAACGCCAAUGGUGAAAACAGCUCGCUGGGGGUGUGCUGACGCUGAGACACGAAAGCCAGGGGAGCAAACGGG